rnacentral:rRNA from 1 species
CAGCUACUUCACGAAUUAGUGUUUCUUCCUGUGCAAAAGCAGUUUACAAUCCAUAGGACCGUCAUCCUGCACGCGGCAUGGCUGGAUCAGGCUUGCGCCCAUUGUCCAAUAUUCCUCACUGCUGCCUCCCGUACGAGUAGAGUA